rnacentral:rRNA from 1 species
GAUGAACGCUAGCGGCAGGCUUAACACAUGCAAGUCGAGGGGUAACAGGGAAGAGCUUGCUUUUCCGCUGACGACCGGCGCACGGGUGAGUAACGCGUAUAGAACCUACCUUUUACAGGGGAAUAGCCCAGAGAAAUUUGGAUUAAUGCCCUAUAGUAUUAUUGAAUGGCAUCAUUUAGUAAUUAAACAUUUAUGGGUAAAAGAUGGCUAUGCGUUCUAUUAGCUAGAUGGUAAGGUAACGGCUUACCAUGGCAACGAUAGAUAGGGGUCCUGAGAGGGAGAUCCCCCACACUGGUACUGAGACACGGACCAGACUCCUACGGGAGGCAGCAGUGAGGAAUAUUGGACAAUGGAGGCAACUCUGAUCCAGCCAUGCCGCGUGCAGGAAGACGGCCCUAUGGGUUGUAAACUGCUUUUAUACGGGAAGAAACCCAACUACGUGUAGUUGGCUGACGGUACCGUAAGAAUAAGCACCGGCUAACUCCGUGCCAGCAGCCGCGGUAAUACGGAGGGUGCAAGCGUUAUCCGGAAUCAUUGGGUUUAAAGGGUCCGUAGGCGGGCUAAUAAGUCAGGGGUGAAAUCCAACAGCUUAACUGUUGAACUGCCUUUGAUACUGUUAGUCUUGAAUUAUAUGGAAGUAGAUAGAAUGUGUAGUGUAGCGGUGAAAUGCUUAGAGAUUACACAGAAUACCGAUUGCGAAGGCAGUCUACUACGUAUAUAUGA